rnacentral:rRNA from 1 species
AAUCAAGUGCCUUAAGGGUGUUCGGUGGAUGCCUUGGCGCUGAGAGGCGAUGAAGGACGUGCUACGCUGCGAUAAGCCGUGGGGAGCUGCGAAGAAGCUUUGAUCCGCGGAUUUCCGAAUGGGGAAACCCACCUUCGAUAGCCGGAACUCCAAGACCUUGGUUUUGGGGUUCGAUUGGGAGACCGAGAGACUUCAAGAUCAUGACGAUGCAAGUCGUCGAGGUUUUGGAUUUCCGGUUAUCAAGAGAAGGUAUGAGACUUCUGAAUACAUAGGAGGUUUCAAGCGAACCCAGGGAACUGAAACAUCUAAGUACCUGGAGGAAAGGACAUCAACCGAGACUCCGCUAGUAGUGGCGAGCGAACGCGGACCAGGCCAGUCAUGAAUGUAAGCCAACCAGAACCUGUCAGGAAAGCAGGGCCUCAGAGGGUGAUAGCCCCGUAUGGGUAAUGCGAACAUUCAUGCUCGAGUACGGCGG